rnacentral:rRNA from 1 species
UACGGAGGGUGCAAACGUUGCUCGGAAUUAUUGGGCGUAAAGCGCACGUAGGUGGUCUAUCAAGUCAGGUGUGAAAGCCCUGGGCUCAACCCAGGAAGUGCACUUGAAACUGACAGGCUUGAGUAUGGAAGAGGGUCGCGGAAUUCCCGGUGUAGCGGUGAAAUGCGCAGAUAGUACAGGAGGAACACCGGUGGCGAAGGCGGGUCUCUGGGCCGAUAUCGACGCUGAGGAGCGAAAGCGUGGGGAGCGAACAGG